GCUGAAUUGAUACUGGACCCAAGCACUGGCGCUCUGGAGAAUGAGACUCUUGUGAAGAACGUUUUCAUCAGCUUGCUGGAAUCUCCAAGGGAAGAGCAGCUCAAUGAGUUCUUUGUGACUUUUGUUGAAGUCACCAAGCAGGAAAACAUCACUAUCAUCACAAACACAGCCGUAAGAGACACAAUGCUAGACCUGACCUUGAUGGCUCUUGCUCCCAAAUUCGACGUUUUUGAGCCAAAAGACUUCCAGCUGUGGUUCCAAGUCAAUCUGGUUGUUCUGCUGGCCAGCUUCCAUCCUGGCAGAUUGGUUGAUAUCCCCCUAAACAUCACCUG
ensembl:lncRNA